ACAUGGGAAAGGAGGUGGUUCGGCAGAUGUAUGCAGACCGGACGCGUGAGGUGACUGCGGGCUAGCGGCCCGUCGUCGCACUCGGUGCGGUGCCGGACCAGCGCGUGAGAGCAGCGCGCAGCCGGCCCAAUCCCAAGCAGUCACCCGACCCGCGGGCCGCCGGUACGUCCGGCCGGCUUCCUCCUCAGGGAGGAACCAUGGCCCGCGGGUCGUCUGCG
rnacentral:sRNA from 1 species